rnacentral:rRNA from 1 species
CAAUAGCGUAUAUUAAAGCUGUUGCGGUUAAAAAGCUCGUAGUUGGAUUUCUGUCAAGGACAACUGGUCCGCCCUCCGGGUGAGCACAUAGUUUGGUCUUGGCAUCUUGCUGGAAGCUGUUGCUGCACUUGGCUGUGUGGCGCAGCGUCCAGCACUUUCACUUUGAGGAAAUUGGAGUGUUUCAAGCAGGCACAUGCCUUUGGACACAGUAGCAUGGAAUAAUUAGAUUGGGCUUUUGCUCCAAUUUGUCGGUUUCUGGAGCUGAGGUGAGAAUUAAUGGGGAUUGUUGGGGGCAUCCGAAUUUAGCCGUCAGAGGGGAAAUUCUUGGAUCUGCUAAAGACGGACAACUGCGAAAGCGUUUGCCCAGGAUGUUUUCAUUGA